UCUACGGGUGGCAGCAGUGGGGAAUAUUGGACAAUGGGCGAAAGCCUGAUCCAGCCAUGCCGCGUGUGUGAAGAAGGCCUUCGGGUUGUAAAGCACUUUCAGUGGGGAAGAAAGCCUUGGGGCUAAUACCCUCGAGGAAGGACAUCACCCACAGAAGAAGCACCGGCUAACUCCGUGCCAGCAGCCGCGGUAAUACGGAGGGUGCGAGCGUUAAUCGGAAUUACUGGGCGUAAAGCGCGCGUAGGCGGUCUGAUAAGCCGGUUGUGAAAGCCCCAGGCUCAACCUGGGAACGGCAUCCGGAACUGUCAGGCUAGAGUGCAGGAGAGGAAGGUAGAAUUCCCGGUGUAGCGGUGAAAUGCGUAGAGAUCGGGAGGAAUACCAGUGGCGAAGGCGGCCUUCUGGACUGACACUGACGCUGAGGUGCGAAAGCGUGGGUAGCAAACAGGAUUAGAUACCCGAGUAGUC
rnacentral:rRNA from 1 species